rnacentral:rRNA from 1 species
GGGUUCGAUUCCGGAGAGGGAGCCUGAGAAACGGCUACCACAUCCAAGGAAGGCAGCAGGCGCGCAAAUUACCCAAUCCCAAUACGGGGAGGUAGUGACAAUAAAUAACAAUAUGGGGCUCUUACGGGUCUCGUAAUUGGAAUGAGUACAAUUUAAAUCUCUUAACGAGGAACAAUUGGAGGGCAAGUCUGGUGCCAGCAGCCGCGGUAAUUCCAGCUCCAAUAGCGUAUAUUAAAGUUGUUGCAGUUAAAAAGCUCGUAGUUGAAUUUCGGAGUUUGUCGGUUGGUCGGGCUUCACUGUCCGCACUGGCCUGAUGGAUUCCUACCUUCUGAAUAACCAGCAUGCUAUUAAGUUAGUGCGUUGGGGAAGCAGAGCUAUUACCUUGAAAAAAUUAGAGUGCUUAAAGCAGGCUUUUGCUUGAAUAGAUUAGCAUGGAAUAAUAAAAUAGGACGGCAUGGUUCUAUUUUGUUGGUUUCUAGGAUCACCGUAAUGAUUAAUAGGGAUAGUUGGGGGCAUUAGUAUUCAAUUGUCAGAGGUGAAAU